CCGAAGCGGAAACGAUCCUAGCUUGCUAGGAGGCGUCGAGCGGCGGACGGGUGAGUAAUGCAUAGGAAUCUGCCCGGUAGUGGGGGAUAACCUGGGGAAACCCAGGCUAAUACCGCAUACGCCCUACGGGGGAAAGCAGGGGAUCUUCGGACCUUGCGCUAUCGGAUGAGCCUAUGUCGGAUUAGCUAGUUGGUGAGGUAACGGCUCACCAAGGCUGCGAUCCGUAGCUGGUCUGAGAGGAUGAUCAGCCACAUCGGGACUGAGACACGGCCCGAACUCCUACGGGAGGCAGCAGUGGGGAAUAUUGGACAAUGGGCGAAAGCCUGAUCCAGCCAUGCCGCGUGUGUGAAGAAGGCCUUCGGGUUGUAAAGCACUUUCAGUGAGGAAGAAAGCCUUGAGGUUAAUACCCUCGAGGGAGGACAUCACUCACAGAAGAAGCACCGGCUAACUCCGUGCCAGCAGCCGCGGUAAUACGGAGGGUGCGAGCGUUAAUCGGAAUUACUGGGCGUAAAGCGCGCGUAGGCGGCUUGAUAAGCCGGUUGUGAAAGCCCCGGGCUCAACCUGGGAACGGCAUCCGGAACUGUCAGGCUAGAGUGCAGGAGAGGAAGGUAGAAUUCCCGGUGUAGCGGUGAAAUGCGUAGAGAUCGGGAGGAAUACCAGUGGCGAAGGCGGCCUUCUGGACUGACACUGACGCUGAGGUGCGAAAGCGUGGGUAGCAAACAGGAUUAGAUACCCUGGUAGUCCACGCCGUAAACGAUGUCGACUAGCCGUUGGGCUCCUUGAGAGCUUUGUGGCGCAGUUAACGCGAUAAGUCGACCGCCUGGGGAGUACGGCCGCAAGGUUAAAACUCAAAUGAAUUGACGGGGGCCCGCACAAGCGGUGGAGCAUGUGGUUUAAUUCGAUGCAACGCGAAGAACCUUACCUACCCUUGACAUCGAGAGAACUUUCCAGAGAUGGAUUGGUGCCUUCGGGAACUCUCAGACAGGUGCUGCAUGGCUGUCGUCAGCUCGUGUUGUGAAAUGUUGGGUUAAGUCCCGUAACGAGCGCAACCCUUGUCCCUAUUUGCCAGCGAUUCGGUCGGGAACUCUAAGGAGACUGCCGGUGACAACCCGGAGGAAGGUGGGGACGACGUCAAGUCAUCAUGGCCCUUACGGGUAGGGCUACCACCUUGCUACA
rnacentral:rRNA from 1 species